rnacentral:tRNA from 1 species
GCUCGACUGGUGUAGUGGCUAUCACGUACCCUUCACACGGGUAAGGUCCUCAGUUCGAUCCUGGGGUCGAGCU